rnacentral:rRNA from 1 species
GACGAACGCUGGCGGCGUGCCUAACACAUGUAAGUCGAACGGGACUGGGGGCAACUCCAGUUCAGUGGCAGACGGGUGCGUAACACGUGAGAAACUUGUCCGACGGAGGGGGAUAGCCGGCCCAACGGCCGGGUAAUACCGCAUACGAUCUUUCGGGGGCAUCCCUGGGAGAUGAAAGCCGCCGCAAGGUGGCACCGACGGAGAGUCUCGCGGCCUAUCAGCUUGUUGGCGGGGUAAUGGCCCACCAAGGCGACGACGGGUAGCUGGUCU